CACGUAGGGCGCAAGCGUUGUCCGGAAUUAUUGGGCGUAAAGAGCUCGUAGGUGGUCUGUUACGUCUGCUGUGAAAACCUAGGGCUUAACCCUGGGCCUGCAGUGGAUACGGGCAGACUAGAGGUAGGUAGGGGAGAAUGGAAUUCCCGGUGUAGCGGUGAAAUGCGCAGAUAUCGGGAGGAACACCGGUGGCGAAGGCGGUUCUCUGGGCCUUACCUGACACUGAGGAGCGAAAGCGUGGGGAGCGAACAGG
rnacentral:rRNA from 1 species